GUUGGUAAUCUCUUAUUUGAGACUCCUUAGUUGUCGCUGUUAGAAGUGACUUCUGCUAGCAGGCAGCUGUUUCUGCCAUUUACACGUAAUCAGAUCAUCACAGGGCCGGCAGAGCCCUUAAGCCACUCUUCUGCCUUGGCUGGGACCUUUGAGGCCUUCUGGAGUGCUUCCAGAAUCCUCCAUUAUUUUCCUCACACCUCCACUUGGGAAAGGCCAAAAAUGCACUUGGGAUAGAAGACAUCAAGCCCUUCCAAUGGCGACAGAAAGAGCUCUGCCUCACUCUUCCUCCCUCUCUUCUCUGUGGUCAUGAAGAAAGUGGUGCAAAUGUUUCCAGCAAGGAAAAGAUUGGUCUUGUUAGCUACCAGGAGAACAGAACCGUGUGUCCCCAGGGGUGUCUGGAGCUCACAGGCAGAGGCAAAGGAAAGUCCCCUGAAACAACAAACGAGGAGGAAUAGGACAAUGCAUCUUAAAGCACCAGAGCCUGCUUCCCGACCAUCUUAUAGUCAGUCACAACACACAGAGCUACAGUAGUCACCUUGCCAUCUGUGACAGGAGACAACAACACUGCACUCAACAUCACAAGAUGAAAAAGAAAAUAUCAAGGGUUUCUGAAAAGAUCGUUGUAUCAUUGAACACUGAAACCACAUGCCUUCAGAAUUCUCGCGUGAUAUAGAAACGAGCUUCAUGCUUUCAGCCAUGACUUGAUGCCAAUAGAUUACCCAAGACCAAAACAAGCAACUCUGGACCAAGAUGAGUCUUCGCUGUUGCCCACCCCUUAUCUACCGGGUUGCAUGGUUCCCAAAAAGAAUUUAGAAAUGGAGCAAAUAACACAUAUUUUGUUGAGGACCUAUUAUGUGCUGGGUACAAUGCUAGGUGCUAAGGGUACAAGGAUGGACAAAGCAGACAAGGUCAUUGUGAUCAUGGAAGACCAACGGCGAGCAGGCAAAUGAGAGAAAGUGAAAAGAUUCCCUGGCAGCUUUAAGAAAUAUCAGUUUGCGCUACUCCUAAAUGUAAACUUAGACUCCGAAAUCAGAUCUGGAUUCAGAUUUCAUCGCUGCCACGUACUAUAGCCCUGAGAAGGCUGUUUAAUCUUUCUGGUACCGCUUUCCUCAUCCAACAGGUUAAACAAUGAAAGAACUCAGUCCGUAGUGUGGUUUCGAGGAUUUGACUAAUGAGGAAAACUCCAUGAAGUGAUCCACAGAGCCUGGCACACAGUCAGUCUAGAUCCAGAUUGACAUCAGGACCUAGGAAGACUUGUUUUGUUUGUUUGUUCCUUGCCCUGCUGGGAAUCAAACAUGGAACCUUAUACACGCUGGGCAAGAGCUGCACUCCUGAGCUAUACCCCCCACCUACAUGGCCAUGACCAUUCCUAUGGCUCUGCUUGUCAUGAGGUCAACGAGACAUAGACCAUGUGGUAAGGAAACCUGGAAGGCAAGUGUCCAGAUGUGCUCAUAGAAGAAUUAGAAGUGAAGGAGCCAAGAGACAGGAAACGUGAGAAUUCCUCCGGGAACCGGGCUGGCUGGGUCUCCGCUGUCUCCUACAUGCAGAUUGUAGCCGUUAUUUCUCGUGGUCUCAACAGUCUCUGCUAGUCUCUCAAUGUGAUUUCAGUUCCCAGGAGAAUCAAGUGGGCUUUACUUUCUACAGGCAGGUAAGUACCUGGGGAGGAUCUACUUUGUGCUACAUACACAGAUACUCCCGUAAAUGAUCUCAGUGGCCCAGAGUCGCCUCCUCCUUCCCCAUCAGAGUCACAACCUCGUGGGUUCAUUGCUGCAACUUCCAACGGCCUAUCCAGCUAAUAAGACAAAUAUAAACCUGGACCCAUGGGGUCCUCACACCCCUAUCCACACUCUGGCAUCUGCACCGGUCACAGGAGCCCUUGGGUACUGUUGCCUGGCUCCAUC